ensembl:lincRNA
CUCUAUACCAGUUUCCCUGUAGUAACAUAUUUAACACAGGCAGCCACCCACCCCACCAAAAGAAAACCCUAGCAACAGUUACUAUUGUUUCUGUUCUAUUUAUGAGGAAACUGAGUCAGAGAGGGGUAAUAUAAUUUAUGAGCCAUACAGCUAACAAGUAAGUAGGACCAGAAUUCACAUCCAGGCAGUCUGGCUCUCGAGUCUAACUCCAUAGAUCCUGACUGCUUACUUCUCCUGGGCUGCCAGCUAAAGAAGUCCCUGUGUCGACCAAUCAACCUCUCAGCGGAGCUGACUGUAAAGAUGGCGGCAGUAUGGUGUCAUAAAUAAACGACCUCCGUUCAAAUGAUACUCUCUGGAGUCUUCAUCUUAAGUCCCAGCCACUCUGCAGAUGAUGAAUGGAGGAGAAAUGAAAAAUGACAUCUUUGAUGGAGAAGACUCCACAGAGACCAGAGUAGAAAUGUGGCCUGUCCCUCUGCUUACAGAGCGCUCUCUUUCCCAUCAGAUGGCUGACAGGUCUUCAGCCCAUUGUCCUGAAAUGAGACACAACUGCCCUCCCAGUCACCAGCAUCCCUUUCACUUCACAAGCAUUUCUGGAAGCCAAAUCUGAUCCUGCUCAGGAUGCAAAAGGCCCUCUAUUUGGGACACACGAGGGGCAAGAUGGGUUGUCUAGCCAUUCUUUCUUUUCCAUUCUUUUCCUGCCUUCUUCACUGUGAUUUUUGAAAAACAACUCUUUCAAAACACCACUUAAAACCAUGGAUCUUCCUUUCUUUUCUCUUCGUGUUAAAUAUGUUAGGGGGAGAAUGGAGGGGUCGAGAGAUUUUUAAUAAAUGGAGACCAUUUUCCAGGGGUCAGCACAUGAAGGUUUCCAGCCUGCUGGGAAUGGCUCUCCUGUUUCACAAAUGAAGACACUAAGCCGUAGCCAGGGGAUCCAACGGGAGGCACAGAUAUAAAUUAUAGCACAGGAUUCUUCACAGGGUACUGACAGGUUAAAGUACAAAAGGAAGAGGGCAGAGGGUACCUGAGAAACACCCAGCAGUGUCCUGAUAACCCGAAGGCUGCUGCUUCUCAUCCAAGGACCGUCAGGGCUCUUUGGUGUACUGAAACAGCCAGUGUGAGGAGCAUCCGGCUCACAGCGCUGAAGUCUGUGCUGCUCCCAACCUAAUUUAUUCUGUGUGUGGAACUUGUGAUUUCAUUUCUGUGUUGUUUAGAACCAUCUCCUCUCACAAAUGUUAGGAGUGACAGAAGUCAACCCCAAACUGGUGGGAAGUUUAGAGUUGCCUGAGGCAUGCUUUGGCUUAUUUGAGUCAGUUGUUCAUUUUCAAUAUGGUUUUAGUUUGUGAAAUUGCUAGAAACAUUAAAAUACAUAUUUACUAGAUUGUGUUUUAUAAGGACUCCACAGGCGAUUUUACCACACUUCCAUUGUUCAUCGAAAUUCUUGCCCAGAUUUAUGUUUCUUUGUUGUGUUUUGUGUGUGUGUGUGUGUGUGUGACUAGCUUUUUUAAAAAUAAGUUGAAAUAUGCAGACAAUAUAACAAAGCCAAUAACUAGAAAUGUCUCUUGCCACUUAAUUCUAUUUAUUAAUGAUAGUGUAUGAUAAAUAUUACUGGUUCAUUUGAAAUUCUGGGUGAUCAAAAGCUCCGACUCUUUCCUGAUGCUCUUACGUUUCCUAAUUCUGCAGUACAGGAGAAAGGGAAGCCUCCUGAACCAGGAAAGACUCAGAGCUUUGGACCAUCCUUUAUGUCUGCCACAGUGCUAGACUCAUAUACAAUAAAUAUCAGGCAGUGGACUUGAGACAUCAAUCAAUGUGUCUGCCCACCACACCCCCUUCCGAGGGGUGGUGUGACCAUUUUUUUUUUUUGCACAUAAUCCAUCCUGAGCAUACUAGAACAAUAUUAGACAUGUGAUCCAAGGGGAGCCACUAGGUGAGGUGUCCAACAAUCCAUGAUACAUCCUGUUGUCAGGUGAUUACCUGACUCAAUCAAAUGCUCCCCCUCAGGAGCACGAACUAGACUAUGCCAAGAGAAUGCAACAGGUAAGGACGUGAACUGAGCUGAAGAUCAGGGUUGGAUGUGGAUGAAGAGGCCAUGGUGGAUGCUGAGGUGACACAGGCGGAACUAUGGGGAAGAAAGACAUGUAGCCUAUCCACACCGGGGGAAAACACGGACGGGACAGAUAACCAGAGAAAGGCAGAAAUAUCAUGAGAAGUGGUGAGGUGGAGAGAAGCCCUCUUUCCUGAAGAGCCUGGCCUCCCCUUCACAUGUCACGGCGCUUGUUUUCCCUGCCCACACUGGAGUAAGGGGAAGACACCACAUCCUCGAGAGCAGACAGUGAAGGGAUAUGAAAGCAUGAUGCUCUCACCCCAAAUCUCCAGCCCAGCCCAGCCCAGUCCAGAGGGCGGGGUCUCCACAAAGAGAAGGCUGGGGAAGGUGUCAGGGCUAAGGGUCAACUGAAAUCCCCACCAAACACAUGGACUAGAUGAUGC